rnacentral:piRNA from 1 species
UAGAACUUCUCCCGUGGUUUU